CCGGGCGGGGGGGGGGGGGGGGGGGGGGGCCUACGGGAGGCAGCAGUAGGGAAUAUUGGGCAAUGGGCGCAAGUCUGAUCCAGCCAUGUGGCGU
rnacentral:rRNA from 1 species